rnacentral:piRNA from 1 species
UACAUCUUAGCUAAACUCAAGACCACUGGA